rnacentral:rRNA from 1 species
GACGAACGCUGGCGACGUGCUUAACACAUGCAAGUCGAACGGUGAAGCGCCUUCCUUUUUGGUGGGUGUGGAUGAGUGGCGAACGGGUGAGUAACACGUGAGUAACCUGCCCCCUUCUUCUGGAUAACCGCAUGAAAGUGUGGCUAAUACGGGAUAUUCUGGGUCUGUCGCAUGAUGGGUCUGGGAAAGAUAUUGUUUCGGUUGGGGAUGGGCUCGCGGCCUAUCAGCUUGUUGGUGGGGUGAUGGCCUACCAAGGCGGUGACGGGUAGCCGGCCUGAGAGGGUGGACGGUCACACUGGGACUGAGACACGGCCCAGACUCCUACGGGAGGCAGCAGUGGGGAAUAUUGCACAAUGGGCGCAAGCCUGAUGCAGCGACGCCGCGUGAGGGAUGGAGGCCUGCGGGUUGUGAACCUCUUUCGCCAGUGAAGCAGGCCUGCCUCGUUUGUGGGUGGGUUGACGGUAGCUGGAUAAGAAGCGCCGGCUAACUACGUG